rnacentral:tRNA from 1 species
UGGGGCGUCGCCAAGUGGUAAGGCACUAGUUUUUGGUACUAGCACUCGGGGGGUUCGAGUCCCUCCGCCCCAGCCA